GAUGAACGCUGGCGGCGUGCUUAACACAUGCAAGUCGAACGGAAAGGCCCAACCUUGGUGGGGUGCUCGAGUGGCGAACGGGUGAGUAACACGUGGGUGAUCUGCCCUGGACUUCGGGAUAAGCCUGGGAAACUGGGUCUAAUACCGGAUAGGACCACAUCCUGGAUGGUGGGGUGGGAAGUGUUUCGGUGUGGGGUGAGCUCGCGGCCGAUCAGCAUGUUGGUGGGGUGGUGGCCUACUAAGGCGUCGACGGGUAGCCGGCCUGGGAGGGUGACCGGCCACAUUGGGACUGAGAUACGGCCCAGCCUCCUACGGGAGGCAGCAGUGGGGAAUAUUGCACAAUGGGCGGAAGCCUGAUGCAGCGACGCCGCGUGGGGGAUGACGGCCUUCGGGUUGUAAACCCCUUUCGCCUGGGACGAAGCGCAAGUGACGGUACCGGGUGAAGAAGCACCGGCUAACUACGUG
rnacentral:rRNA from 1 species